CCUGGCGGCAGUAGCGCGGUGGUCCCACCUGACCCCAUGCCGAACUCAGAAGUGAAACGCCGUAGCGCCGAUGGUAGUGUGGGGUUUCCCCAUGCGAGAGUAGGGAACUGCCAGGC
rnacentral:rRNA from 5 species